rfam:Trichococcus sp. R210 isolate Trichococcus_R210 genome assembly, contig: TR210DRAFT_scaffold-20
UGUAGUAACAACGAAUAGCGAGAAGUCAGCAGAGGUCAUAGUAGCGAAAAUGUAGCGAAGGAC